rnacentral:rRNA from 1 species
GUCCUACGGGGGGCAGCAGUGGGGGAUAUUGCACAAUGGGGGGAACCCUGAUGCAGCGACGCCGCGUGGGUGAAGAAGCGCCUCGGCGCGUAAAGCCCUGUCAGCAGGGAAGAAAAUGACGGUACCUGAAGAAGAAGCCCCGGCUAACUACGUGCCAGCAGCCGCGGUAAUACGUAGGGGGCAAGCGUUAUCCGGAUUUAUUGGGUUUAAAGGGUGCGCAGGCGGCCUGUUAAGUCAGCGGUAAAAGCCCGGGGCUCAACCCCGGCGAGCCGUUGAAACUGGCGGGCUGGAGUUGGAGAGAAGUA